rnacentral:rRNA from 1 species
GACGAACGCUGGCGGCGUGCUUAACACAUGCAAGUCGAACGGAAAGGCCCUGCUUUUGUGGGGUGCUCGAGUGGCGAACGGGUGAGUAACACGUGAGUAACCUGCCCUUGACUUUGGGAUAACUUCAGGAAACUGGGGCUAAUACCGGAUAGGAGCUCCUGCUGCAUGGUGGGGGUUGGAAAGUUUCGGCGGUUGGGGAUGGCCUCGCGGCUUAUCAGCUUGUUGGUGGGGUAGUGGCUUACCAAGGCUUUGACUGGUAGCCGGCCUGAGAGGGUGACCGGCCACAUUGGGACUGAGAUACGGCCCAGACUCCUACGGGAGGCAGCAGUGGGGAAUAUUGCACAAUGGGCGGAAGCCUGAUGCAGCAACGCCGCGUGCGGGAUGACGGCCUUCGGGUUGUAAACCGCUUUCGCCUGUGACGAAGCGUGAGUGACGGUAAUGGGUAAAGAAGCACCGGCUAACUACGUG